CCUACGGGAGGCUGCAGUAGGGAAUAUUGCUCAAUGGGGGAAACCCUGAAGCAGCAACGCCGCGUGGAGGAUGAAGGUUUUCGGAUUGUAAACUCCUUUUGUUAGAGAAGAUAAUGACGGUAUCUAACGAAUAAGCACCGGCUAACUUCUUGCCAGCAGCCGCGGUAAUACGGAGGGUGCAAGCGUUACUCGGAAUCACUGGGCGUAAAGAGCGCGGAGGCGGGAUAGCAAGUCAGAUGUGAAAUCCUAUGGCUUAACCAUAGAACUUCAUUUGAAACUGUUAUUCUAGAGUAUGGAAGAGGUAGGUGGAAUUCUUGGUGUAGGGGUAAAAUGCGUAGAGAUCAAGAGGAAUACUCAUUGCGAAGGCGACCUGCUAGAACAUAACUGACGCUGAUGCGCGAAAGCGUGGGGAGCAAACAGGAUUAGAUACCCGGGUAGUC
rnacentral:rRNA from 1 species